CUCGCAAGAAGCAGUCGUGUUUGGGCAGCUUUCUACACCUCUGUGCCGGCAGAUUUGUAAGAUUGGAAGUUGUUUCAGUGUGGAGAGUGAUGGACAUAGUGUAUUGUUAGUAAACCCUUGAAAAUGAAUGCUAGAUUGGUGUCCAACGUUGUGAUGGUGGAUAAUGUCGGAAUGUGGAUGGUUGUGUAACAUUGGUGAAAAGUUUGUGUUGGGAAGUUGCAUGAUGGAGCAUUAGUAUUGUCUAUUGAAGGCUUUGGCAGACACCGUGGAAGUUGAUCAAGACUGAUCACGAUUCUUUCGAGAGGACCGGCACUUAUUUACUCGCAAGAAGGUUUCGUGUUUGAAGCAGCUUUCUGUACUGGCAUAUUUGGACACAUCUGCAAAUACAGCUGGAAGGUUGACAUAAGAGCUGUGACACCUGGAGCAAUGAAGGACUUGGCAGACACUGUGAAAGUUGAUGAAGACUGGUAUCGAUUCUUCGAGAGUCCCGGUGUGUUGGACUAUUGUCCGUUCGGAUGUCCUGGCCAUGCAGUUCACUGUGAAUUUUUACUGUUAAUGUCAAGAUAUUGUGCUUUUCUGGUCGUUAUAAUCUGUUGUCUAAUAUUUUGUUAAAAUAUGUAUUUCAAAUGCUAUUAACAUGUAUAUUUAAAUUAUAAUUUUUCCCACAUAUACUGUAUGAACCUUUUAUUUCUAUUUUGCUGUUUUCCAAUUGUCAAAUAUGUGUCAUAAUUAUUACAAAUGCGAUGUCGAGAUCUUGGCCACGCGGGUCGUCGGUUAUUUUCCGCUAAAAAGUAAACAUAUUUUACUUGGGUUGUAAUUAAAAUCUGUUGUCUAAUAUUUGUUUAAAAAAGUAUUGCCAAUGUAACUAACAUGAAUAUGAUAAUUACAAUUACUUCCAUUCAAAAAAUACUGUAUGGUUAUUUUAAUUCUAUUACAAUUCUGGUUUCAAA